CACUCAUGCAGAGGCCAGAGGAAAGUUUCUGGUAGUCAGCUCUCUCUCUGCACAGUGUGGAAGCUGGAGCUGGAGCUCAGGUUCCCUGGCUCACUGGGACUAAAACAGAAAUAAAUCUAAGGGCCUUCAGAAUGGAAUUUUCACUCACCACUCAGAAAUAGGGGAAGGCGAUUGUCUCUAGCGAAGACCUGGUGGGCGCAGAGCGGCCCCGAGAGGUGAAGGAGAGCUUUGGGAGUCACAUCCUUCCAGCAGCUAGGCUUUUCUUUAGAGAUCUCCAAGUCUCCAUUUCCACGUCUGCUUCUGUGCUUGUAGCUGUGUGUUCUGUGAAAUGGCGAUGCUAUGGACUGAAGAUGUUCUGAAUUAUUUAAUAGUCACUGUUGGGAGUGUAGUGCUCAAUAUAUAUAUUUAUUUAUAUCAUUAGAAAUGGACAUGCUUUUCUGUAUCUCCGUUUCUGCAGUUGCGGUGUUGGGUCUGACCUGGGCCUUUGUUCAUGGCAGCCCCCGUGUCCCCAGCUCCAGAGCAGCACUCAACCAACCCUUUGGGCUCUGACUUUGUUCCUUUUGUGUUUUCAGUCACUGUCUUGCUACCUUAUAAGGCUGCUCCGUUAUGAUAGCCUUUUAGUUGUGCUUUAAAAAUUCAUUCUCUGAAGAACCAUUUGCUGAUGGCAAUUUGAAUAAAAUUUAUCGUAAUGAGUGAUUCAAUUGUAAUAUUUUUUUCUUUCCAUUUGAGAGCUGAAUUGUUAGUUAGCUUAUUGAAAUGAAGGAAAUGAGAGACUGUUCUAGAGUAAUAUGUUCUGAUUUCAUAAAACUUUGGGAAUUUAUUGAAGAAUAUCAACCCAAAAGACAGUGAAAGUGUACAUAGACUGACCGCCUCAAUUGAAGACUCAAGCCCUUGAGUGGGAGUGUUCGAAGGUGGUCAUCCGCAGUUCACUGGUAGCGUCUUGUGACUUAGGCGAGGUGUAAGACAGGUGAAUUAAUGGACGUUGAGAUUCCCCUCCACCCACUAAUGGAGAGACCAUUUGUGGUUUUUAGUUGUGAGUCUCACUCCCCGUUCUUAUAUAUGUAUGGAAGAACUGUCUUGGAUACAAGUUUUAAUAUUUUUAAAUGUAAAUAUCUUUCUGAUGCAGUUAGUGUUUGUAUGGUCAUGUAAUAAUUUAAGCGUAAGCACCAUUUCCUUGGCACAUGUAUAAUAAGUAACACUGUAAAAACAAUAAAACUAUUUCUCAAAA